AGAUAUCGGGAAGAACACCAAUGGCGAAGGCAGGUCUCUGGGCCGUUACUGACGCUGAGGAGCGAAAGCGUGGGGAGCGAACAGGAUUAGAUACCCUGGUAGUCCACGCCGUAAACGGUGGAUGCUGGAUGUGGGGCCCGUUCCACGGGUUCCGUGUCGGAGCUAACGCGUUAAGCAUCCCGCCUGGGGAGUACGGCCGCAAGGCUAAAACUCAAAGAAAUUGACGGGGGCCCGCACAAGCGGCGGAGCAUGCGGAUUAAUUCGAUGCAACGCGAAGAACCUUACCUGGGCUUGACAUGUUCCCGACAGCCGUAGAGAUAUGGCCUCCCUUCGGGGCGGGUUCACAGGUGGUGCAUGGUCGUCGUCAGCUCGUGUCGUGAGAUGUUGGGUUAAGUCCCGCAACGAGCGCAACCCUCGCCCUGUGUUGCCAGCACGUCAUGGUGGGAACUCACGGGGGACCGCCGGGGUCAACUCGGAGGAAGGUGGGGAUGACGUCAGAUCAUCAUGCCCCUUACGUCCAGGGCUUCACGCAUGCUACAAUGGCCGGUACAACGGGAUGCGACACGGCGACGUGGAGCGGAUCCCUGAAAACCGGUCUCAGUUCGGAUUGGAGUCUGCAACCCGACUCCAUGAAGGCGGAGUCGCUAGUAAUCGCGGAUCAGCAACGCCGCGGUGAAUGCGUUCCCGGGCCUUGUACACACCGCCCGUCAAGUCAUGAAAGUGGGUAGCACCCGAAGCCGGUGGCCUAACCCUUUGUGGAUGGAGCCGUCUAAGGUGAGACUCGUGAUUGGGACUAAGUCGUAACAAGGUAGCCGUACCGGAAGGUGCGGCUG
rnacentral:rRNA from 1 species